AAACAUGAGAGUUUGAUCCUGGCUCAGAGCGAACGCUGGCGGCGUGCUUAACACAUGCAAGUCGAACGUGAAAGGGGGCAACCCCGAGUAAAGUGGCGUACGGGUGAGUAACACGUAGGUAAUCUACCCUAGAGUCUGGAAUAACCUGCCGAAAGGCGGGCUAAUACUGGAUAGAGCGACGGAAUCCGCAAUUGGGUUUUUCGGGAAAGGGAGCCUGUAAGGGCCCUCGCUUUAGGAUGAGCCUGCGUCCCAUUAGCUAGUUGGUGGGGUAAAAGCCUACCAAGGCGAUGAUGGGUAGCUGGUCUGAGAGGAUGAUCAGCCACACUGGAACUGA
rnacentral:ncRNA from 1 species